rnacentral:rRNA from 1 species
UACGUAGGGUGCGAGCGUUAAUCGGAAUUACUGGGCGUAAAGCGUGCGCAGGCGGUUCGUUAAGUCAGAUGUGAAAGCCCCGGGCUCAACCUGGGAAUGGCAAUGGAGACUGCAAGGCUAGAGUUUGGCAGAGGGGGGUGAGAAUUCCACGUGUAGCAGUGAAAUGCGUAGAUAUGUGGAGGAACACCGAUGGCGAAGGCAGCCCCCUGGGUCAAAACUGACGCUCAUGCACGAAAGCGUGGGGAGCAAACAGG